rnacentral:lncRNA from 10 species
GCACCGCAGAGCCCAGCCCGGCACUGCUGGGUGACCGUCCCAUGGCUGGUUCGCCCCGGACCACUCUGCUGAAGUCCAGGAAUCUCCACCUGGAUGUGAGGCCCAGGAAAACCUGCAGGUCCCCAGGACGGGUGGAAGAGGGACGUUCCCCACAAUGGCAGUGGCUUUGUUUCCAUUUCGGAGGCCAGACCACAGAGCCACAGGAGUACCCAGCCCUCCAUCCACACUGCCUGCCUCCACCAAGGGGCCCUUGGAUGGGGGCUUCCCCAGCCAGAAGGGCAGGCAGAAACAAACUAGCCCCAUCUAGGCCCAACUCUGCCUCUGACACCACCAAAUGCAGUGGAGAAAGGUGUGUGGGAGCUGCAGAGACCAUCCAAGGCUUCCCCUCAGCCAGCACUGGCCACCCACACAGUUUCUGUCCUGGGUGGACCCGGAUUGGCUCCUUGCCUCCAAGUCCGACUGGGAACAAGCUGAGGAAGACACAAACUCCAGGCUAAGUCUUGACUCCCACCACCCGGCUUUGCGAGAGAACCCCCGGGUUUGGACCUCCUGCCCAAGCACAUCCCUGCUGAAGAGGAACCCGGCUCAAGGUCACCUUGGGGGACAGACCUUGCCUGGCCAUGCAGUCUCUCCAGGCAGGAGAACUGCAACAUUUUGGAGCAAAGACAGGCCCGGGGCCCAGAGAUUCGGAUUCAGCAGGCCUG